GAUCCUGGCUUAGGACGAACGCUGGCGGCGUGCCUAAUACAUGCAAGUCGAACGAACUGUGGAAAGCUUGCUUUCAGAGUUAGUGGCGAACGGGUGAGUAACACGUAAGUAACCUAGCUAUUAGACGAGGAUAACUACUGGAAACGGUAGCUAAGACUGGAUAUGAUAGAAAUAUUUAAAGGAUGCUAAGGCAUCGCUAAUAGAGGGGCUUGCGGCGCAUUAGCUAGUUGGUAGGGUAAAGCCAACCAAGGCGAUGAUGCGUAGCCGACCUGAGAGGGUGACCGGCCACACUGGGACUGAGACACGGCCCAGACUCCUACGGGAGGCAGCAGUAGGGAAUCUUCGGCAAUGGACGAAAGUCUGACCGAGCAACGCCGCGUGAGUGAAGAAAGUUUUCGGAUUGUAAAGCUCUGUUAUUAGGGAAGAAAGGCUCUAGGAGGAAAUGCUUAGGAUUGACGGUACCUAAUGAGGAAGCCACGGCUAACUACGUGCCAGCCGCUGC
rnacentral:rRNA from 1 species